rnacentral:rRNA from 1 species
UACGUAGGGUGCGAGCGUUGCCCGGAUUUAUUGGGCGUAAAGGGCGCGUAGGCGGCCACGCACGUCCGUUGUGAAAUCGCCCGGCUCAACUGGGCGGGGUCGGCGGAUACGGCGUGGCUGGAGCAAGCUAGGGGGCAAUGGAAUUCCCGGUGUAGUGGUGGAAUGCGUAGAUAUCGGGAGGAACACCAGUGGCGAAGGCGGUUGCCUGGAGCUCUGCUGACGCUGAGGCGCGAAAGCGUGGGGAGCAAACAGG